GACGAACGCUGGCGGCGUGCUUAACACAUGCAAGUCGAACGAUGAAGCCGGAGCUUGCUCCGGUGGAUUAGUGGCGAACGGGUGAGUAACACGUGAGCAAUCUGCCCUUGACUCUGGGAUAACUGCGGGAAACUGUAGCUAAUACUGGAUACGACACCUUGGGGCAUCCCAGGGUGUGGAAAGAAUUUCGGUCAAGGAUGAGCUCGCGGCCUAUCAGCUAGUUGGUGAGGUAAUGGCUCACCAAGGCGACGACGGGUAGCCGGCCUGAGAGGGUGACCGGCCACACUGGAACUGAGACACGGUCCAGACUCCUACGGGAGGCAGCAGUGGGGAAUAUUGCAUAAUGGGCGAAAGCCUGAUGCAGCAACGCCGCGUGAGGGAUGAAGGCCUUCGGGUUGUAAACCUCUUUUAGCAGGGAAGAAGCGAAAGUGACGGUACCUGCAGAAAAAGCACCGGCUAACUACGUGCCAGCAGCCGCGGUAA
rnacentral:rRNA from 1 species